rnacentral:rRNA from 1 species
AUUGAACGCUGGCGGCAGGCCUAACACAUGCAAGUCGAGCGCGCGGCGGACGGGUGAGUAAUGUCUGGGAAACUGCCUGAUGGAGUGGGAUAACUACUGGAAACGGUAGCUAAUACCGCAUACCAUCAGAUGUGCCCAGAUGGGAUUAGCUAGUAGGUGGGGUAACGGCGCACCUAGGCAACUCUCCCCAGCUGGGCUGAGAGAAUGAUCAGCAACCAUGGAACGGAGACACGGUCCGGACUCCUACGGGAGGCAGCAGUGGGGAAUAUUGCACAAUGGGCGCAAGCCUGAUGCAGCCAGGCUGCGUGUGUGACGAAGGCAUUCGGGUUGUAAAGCACUUUCAGCGGGGAGGCGUUACCCGCAGAAGAAGCACCGGCUAACUCCGUGCCAGCAGCCGCGGUAAUUC